UACGUAGGGCGCAAGCGUUGUCCGGAAUUAUUGGGCGUAAAGAGCUCGUAGGCGGUCUGUUACGUCCGCUGUGAAAACCCAGGGCUUAACCCUGGGCUUGCAGUGGAUACGGGCAGACUAGAGGCAGGUAGGGGAGAAUGGAAUUCCCGGUGUAGCGGUGGAAUGCGCAGAUAUCAGGAGGAACACCGAUAGCGAAGGCAGCUCGCUGGGACGGUACUGACGCUGAGGCGCGAAAGCGUGGGGAGCAAACAGG
rnacentral:rRNA from 1 species